rnacentral:piRNA from 1 species
UGGUACCAGCCAUGACAAUGUGUGU